GGGUUGUAAACCUCUUUUCACAGGGAAGAAAAAAAUGACGGUACCUGAGGAAUAAGUCUCGGCUAACUACGUGCCAGCAGCAGCGGUAAUACAGAGACCUCAAGCGUUAUCCGGAUUUAUUGGGCGUAAAGUGGGCGUAGGUGGUCCUUCAAGUUAGAUGUGAAAUCUCCCGGCUCAACUGGGAUAGGUCAUCUAAUACUGUUGGACUGGAGUGCAGCAGGGGGAAACAGAAUUCCCGGUGUAGUGGUGAAAUGCGUAGAUAUCGGGAGGAAUACCAGAGGCGAAGGCGGUUUUCUAGGUUGUCACUGACACUGAGGCUCGAAAGCGUGGGGAGCGAACAGAAUUAGAUACUCUGGUAGUCCACGCCUUAAACUAUGGACACUAGGUAUAGGGAGUAUCGACCCUCUCUGUGCCGAAGCUAAC
rnacentral:rRNA from 1 species